UACAGAGGUCCUGAGCGUUGUUCGGAUUUAUUGGGCGUAAAGGGUGCGUAGGCGGCGGAGUAAGUUGGGUGUGAAAUCCCGGGGCUCAACCUCGGAAUUGCAUUCAAUACUGCUUCGCUCGAGUACUGGAGAGGAGGCUGGAAUUUACGGUGUAGCAGUGAAAUGCGUAGAUAUCGUAAGGAAGGCCGGUGGCGAAAGCGAGCCUCUGGACAGUUACUGACGCUGAUGCACGAAGGCCAGGGGAGCAAACGGG
rnacentral:rRNA from 1 species